GUUUAAUUUCGGUUCUCCCUUGAGCUGGCCCGCUGUUCUAACAGCAUCUCCUACUCUAAUAAACUUUAUUCUCCUCUCAUUCUGCCUCAGGUCUGGAAAUUCUUUUCCAACCCGUGCCCGGACCACGACACGACUUUUUACGACCUCAUGGAUGUAGCCCGUCAGGGCCCUCUGUCCAUGGGAUUUCCCAGGGCCGAUAAAAGGUAGAAGAACAUAUUCAGCUCCCGAUUUAGACACUGUGCAGUGGUUUUACGGAUACAAAAGCUGUCUUAGCAUCAACAAGGUGGCAUUGAAAUCUGGGUCACAUAUAUGACUGAGCACAAAACUUUUAAAAAAU
ensembl:lncRNA